GGUUCAGGAUGAACGCUAGCUACAGGCUUAACACAUGCAAGGUCGAGGGGCAUCAUGGGUGUGGCUUGCCACACCUGAUGGCGACCGGCGCACGGGUGAGUAACACGUAUCCAACCUUCCCCGCGGUAGGGAACAGGCCGGUGAAAACCGGAUUAAUGCCCUAUGGUCUCCUUUGAAGGCAUCUGAAGAGGAGUAAAGAUUGAUCGCCGUGGGAUGGGGAUGCGCCCGAUUAGGCGGCAGGCGGGGUGACGGCCCACCUGGCCCGCGAUCGGUAGGGGUUCUGAGAGGAAGGUCCCCCACACUGGUACUGAGACACGGACCAGACUCCUACGGGAGGCAGCAGUGAGGAAUAUUGGUCAAUAGGCGGAAGCCUGAACCAGCCAAGUAGCGUGCAAGGAUGACGGCCCUACGGGUUGUAAACUGCUUUUAUGCGGGGAUAAAGUUCAGCACGUGUGCUGUUUUGCAGGUACCGCAUGAAUAAGGACCGGCUAAUUCCGUGCCAGCAGCCGC
rnacentral:rRNA from 1 species